rnacentral:rRNA from 1 species
UACGGAGGGCGCUAGCGUUGUUCGGAUAUGCUGGGCGUAAAGCGCACGUAGGCGGCGCAGCAAGUCAGGGGUGAAAUCCCGGAGCUCAACUCCGGAACUGCCCUUGAAACUGCAGUGCUAGAAUCCUGGAGAGGCGAGUGGAAUUCCGAGUGUAGAGGUGAAAUUCGUAGAUAUUCGGAAGAACACCAGUGGCGAAGGCGACUCGCUGGACAGGUAUUGACGCUGAGGUGCGAAAGCGUGGGGAGCAAACAGG